UACGUAGGUGGCGAGCGUUGUCCGGAUUUACUGGGCGUAAAGGGAGCGUAGGCGGACUGUCAAGUCAGCGGUAAAAUUGAGAGGCUCAACCUCUUCCCGCCGUUGAAACUGGUGGUCUUGAGUGGAUGAGAAGUACGCGGAAUGCGUGGUGUAGCGGUGAAAUGCAUAGAUAUCACGCAGAACUCCGAUUGCGAAGGCAGCGUACCGGCAUCCAACUGACGCUGAGGCACGAAAGCGUGGGGAUCAAACAGG
rnacentral:rRNA from 1 species